rnacentral:rRNA from 1 species
CCUACGGGUGGCAGCAGUGAGGAAUAUUGGUCAAUGGACGAGAGUCUGAACCAGCCAAGUAGCGUGAAGGAUGACUGCCCUAUGGGUUGUAAACUUCUUUUAUAUGGGAAUAAAACGUUCCACGUGUGGGAUUUUGUAUGUACCAUAUGAAUAAGGAUCGGCUAACUCCGUGCCAGCAGCCGCGGUAAUACGGAGGAUCCGAGCGUUAUCCGGAUUUAUUGGGUUUAAAGGGAGCGUAGGUGGAUUGUUAAGUCAGUUGUGAAAGUUUGCGGCUCAACCGUAAAAUUGUAGUUGAAACUGGCAGUCUUGAGUACAGUAGAGGUGGGCGGAAUUCGUGGUGUAGCGGUGAAAUGCUUAGAUAUCACGAAGAACUCCGAUUGCGAAGGCAGUUCACUGGACUGCAACUGACACUGAGGCUCGAAAGUGUGGGUAUCAAACAGGAUUAGAUACCCCUGUAGUC